rnacentral:rRNA from 1 species
GGGUUGUGAGGUUAAGCGACUAAGCGUACACGGUGGAUGCCCUGGCAGUCAGAGGCGAUGAAGGACGUGCUAAUCUGCGAUAAGCGCCGGUAAGGUGAUAUGAACCGUUAUAACCGGCGAUUUCCGAAUGGGGAAACCCAGUGUGAUUCGUCACACUAUCAUUAACUGAAUCCAUAGGUUAAUGAGGCGAACCGGGGGAACUGAAACAUCUAAGUACCCCGAGGAAAAGAAAUCAACCGAGAUUCCCCCAGUAGCGGCGAGCGAACGGGGAGGAGCCCAGAGCCUGAAUCAGCAUGUGUGUUAGUGGAAGCGUCUGGAAAGGCGCGCGAUACAGGGUGACAGCCCCGUACACAAAAGCGCAUGUGCUGUGAGCUCGAUGAGUAGGGCGGGACACGUGGUAUCCUGUCUGAAUAUGGGGGGACCAUCCUCCAAGGCUAAA